rnacentral:rRNA from 1 species
CCUGGUAGCGGGGGAUAACUAUUGGAAACGAUAGCUAAUACCGCAUAACAGUAGAUAUUGCAUGAUAUCUGCUUGAAAGGUGCAAAUGCAUCACUACCAGAUGGACCUGCGUUGUAUUAGCUAGUUGGUGAGGUAACGGCUCACCAAGGCGACGAUACAUAGCCGACCUGAGAGGGUGAUCGGCCACACUGGGACUGAGACACGGCCCAG